rnacentral:misc_RNA from 1 species
AACGCACCUUGCACCCUUUGGUAUUCCGAAGGGUACGCCCGUUUGAGUGUCAUUGUAAUCUCACUACGAUCGACUUUUGUCUUUUCGUAUGUGGACUUGGAUGUUGCCGUGAAUAAACAAACGGCUCGUCUGAAAUGCCUGAGUGUACCCCGCUUUGCGGCGUAUUCGGUGUGAUAAAUCUUCACCGGAGUUGAUCCCUUUAUGGGGUCGCGUCUGUAAUGGUGUGGCUCUAUGCUUCGAACCGUCUUUUUAUCGAGACAAAUCUCUGACAAUUUGACCUCAAAUCGGGUGGGACUACCCGCUGAACUUAA